rnacentral:lncRNA from 1 species
CAGAUUUUCAAAAAGGUUCCUAUAGAAUACUACAGAUGUUUAGGGUGCUAAUACCUUCCCUUUGAAUAACCAACCCCCAUACCCUUUUCUCUUUUUGUUAUUUUUAUUUUAAAACUUCUUUGGGCUUUGUUCUUUCUUUUUUCCCUUUCCUUUGGAAAUAAUAAAAGCGCGAUGGUGACUCUUGCUUUGUGAGUUAAGUUAAUCAAUAGUUUAAUCUCAAAAAUUUUACCACUACGGGUGGCACCUCCAAUCAA